UACGUAGGGUGCAAGCGUUGUCCGGAAUUAUUGGGCGUAAAGAGCUCGUAGGCGGUUUGUCGCGUCGGCUGUGAAAACUCGGGGCUUAACCCCGAGCCUGCAGUCGAUACGGGCAGACUAGAGUGCGGUAGGGGAGACUGGAAUUCCUGGUGUAGCGGUGAAAUGCGCAGAUAUCAGGAGGAACACCGGUGGCGAAGGCGGGUCUCUGGGCCGUAACUGACGCUGAGGAGCGAAAGCAUGGGGAGCGAACAGG
rnacentral:rRNA from 1 species